ACGGAAGGCAGCAGUGAGGGAUAUUGGUCAAUGGGCGGAAGCCUGAACCAGCCAAGUCGCGUGAAGGAUGAAGGUAUUAUGUAUUGUAAACUUCUUUAGCAGUGGAGUAAUAAGGGAGUCGAGACUCCUGAUGCAAGUACACUGAAAAUAAGGAUCGGCUAACUCCGUGCCAGCAGCCGCGGUAAUACGGAGGAUCCGAGCGUUAUCCGGAUUUAUUGGGUUUAAAGGGUGCGCAGGCGGCCCUGUAAGUCAGCGGUAAAAUCGGGGAGCUCAACUCCAUCCCGCCGUUGAUACUGCAGGGCUUGAUUGCGGUUGAGGUUGGCGGAAUUCGUCGUGUAGCGGUGAAAUGCAUAGAUAUGACGAAGAACACCGAUUGCGUAGGCAGCUGACCAGGCCGUAAAUGACGCUCAUGCACGAAAGUGCGGGGAUCGAACAGGAUUAGAUACCCUGGUA
rnacentral:rRNA from 1 species